rnacentral:lncRNA from 1 species
AAAACUGAAGUUUUGUGAUCACUAGUAUAUUAUUUUAUUAUAAUUUACAGGUCGUAGAUGAAUUUAACGGUGAUAGAUGAAUAUCGGUUGGCUUUGAGGAUUUUUUUAGGUAAAGAUUAGGUUUAAUUGUAUUGUUAUUAUAUCUUUAUUUUGAGAAUUUUUUUUUUUGUGUUAAUGUUAAGUUUAAUUAUAUUAUUUUGAUAUUUCUAUUAUCAUAUUAUUUUGUUAUAGGUUACAGGUGGUAGAUGAGUGUCAGAUGACUUUGAGAAAAUUUUUGUGUAAAGGUUAGAUUUAAUUAUAUUGUUUUGAUGUCUCUAAUCAUCAUAUUUUUUAGUAAAACUUAGGUUUAAUUAAUUAAAUUCUCCAAAAAAUAUUUAAUUUAAUUAUUGUAUUUAUCUUUAUUAUUUAAACAAAUAUUCUAUUUAUUGUAACAUUUAAAUUUAAUAAAAUGAGGUACACGCGCGAGACGCGUAUACCUAAACUAGUAUAAUAAUAAUGUACGUACAUAUUAAUGAAUUUCAUAAUAUAAAUACAAAAUUUAGAUCAAUGUUUAUUUUAGUCGAGUAACUUGUAUUAUAUAUCCGCCUCCAAAUAUAUAAUCAUAAGUCGUAACUCACAAGAUACUUAUGAAACUCUUUUAAGUGUUUGCUAAAUAAAUAAAAUAUAUUAAAAUGACCAAAAUGCUCUUAAAUUAUUUACAAUCAAUAAUGGCAAUCAACUAACAAACCUUGCAGGGAAGUACAUAAUAUACCACAAUAUUAAAAUUUCCUUAUAUUCAAAUAGGAUUUAUGUUGAGUUUGUUGGGAGGCUCAUUAUAUCGGUUUCCAAAGGAUCAGUUGCGUUGAAAUUGAUAAAAUUUUGUGAAGUUUAUAAUUGCAUAAAAGGAGGCAAAAUAGUUGUUGCGGCGCAUUUAGUCACCUCUUUGAUGGUCCUUGUAUGGUUAGCUACCGGCCUGACUCUAAAAUAUAUAUAUAUAUCAGGCCGAUAAGAUCAGUAAGCGCGAAAUAAAAUUGAUUUUACUAAUUUCAUCGUAGCCUAUUGUAUUUACUCAUUAUUGGAGGUAAAUUAUUGUGCUCUCUCGAGAUUGCUAUCUCUAUCGAGUCGAGAAGAAAUAAAAAUGGGUACGAGCCACGAGGGAAUGAAAUAAAUUGGUUUAUGACAUACUUGAGAAUUAAUGGCAGUUUAUAAGUACAUAGACUUUUGUUUGUUUGAUACGUCAAAGGUUUCGUACCGAAUUGAAUGACAUGCGUCCUCUGUCUCAUUUUAAUUUGGAAAAAAAGCUCAAAUAUGUCACUGAACUAUCAGAAAUGGCUUAUUUAUGCCAUCAGUUAAAAGUUGAGUUCAUUCAUACCAUCGCCGUUACAAAACCAGCUCAUCCAUGUCAUUAUUUUUUAAUGGUGAUUUUCAAAAACAACUUUGUCACGUGACCUUUUAUUAGAGGUCCAAAUCAUUAAUUAAAAUAAGUAAAAAUAGUCAAAUAUGUCAUUGAACUAUCAGCAAUGGCUCAUUUAUGCCAUCAGUUAAAAAUUCGGCUCAUUCAUGUCAUCACCGUUAUAAAAUCAACUCACUCAUGCCAUUACUUCUUAAUGAUGGGUUUUUAAAAAUAGCUUUGUCACGUGGUCUUUUAUUAGAAGUCCAUGCCAUUAAUUAAAAGAAAACAAUAUUAAUUUCAAAAUAUCUGAAAUUAGAUAGUAUUAGGAUUAUUUAUUCCAGCAUUAAUACCAUAAUGAUGGGAGAAGUUAUCCCAUAUACAUGGUGGGAUAAUUGGAAUAGCAAACUUCUUUUAAGCCGUUAUUUGAAAAUGAUUUUUCAACAAUGUAUACUCCACUAAUUCGUGAUGGGAGAAGUUAUUCCAUAUGCAUGGUGGGAUGAUUGGGAUAAAAGACUUCUUUUAAGUCGUUAUUUGCAAAUGAUUUUUUCAAUAAUGUAUACCCCUAAUUCGUGAUGGGAGAAUGGAGAAUUUCUAUUGGUACGCCUCUUUCUUUUUAUUGUUUGCCCUAAUCGUUCAUUGGUUUAUUUUCUUGCAACUUCGGAGUAUACAUUGGAGUCACUGAAAUUAAAACUAAUCAGUACUGGAUAGAAUUUUUGAGGUUUCUGUUAAGCGUAGCAUUUAUAAUGAUUUAAAAUCAACUAGAAAUAGCCAAAGGAUAUACAUUAAUCACUAUUUUUUUUAACAUAUGCAUGGUGGGAUGAUUGGGAUAAAAGACUUCUUUUAAGUCGUUAUUUGCAAAUGAUUUUUUCAAUAAUGUAUACCCCUAAUUCGUGAUGGGAGAAUGGAGAAUUUCUAUUGGUACGCCUCUUUCUUUUUAUUGUUUGCCCUAAUCGUUCAUUGGUUUAUUUUCUUGCAACUUCGGAGUAUACAUUGGAGUCACUGAAAUUAAAACUAAUCAGUACUGGAUAGAAUUUUUGAGGUUUCUGUUAAGCGUAGCAUUUAUAAUGAUUUAAAAUCAACUAGAAAUAGCCAAAGGAUAUACAUUAAUCACUAUUUUUUUUAAUUAGAAAAAUAGUUGUUGUAGGAAAAAAGAUAUUUUAAUGGGUGUGGGUCGGGUUAUGUUAAAUGAAUCGAUUGUUUUUAAUGGGUCUAAGAUAUUUUGAAAUUAAUAUUGAUUUAGUUUAAUUAAUGUCGCGGACCUCUAAUAAAAAGCCAGAUGAAAAAAUUAUUUUUGAAAACCCACCAUUAAAAAGUAAUGACAUGGGUGAGCUAUUUUAUAACGACGAUGGCAUGAAUGAGCUGAACUUUUAACUGAUAGCAUAAAUGAGUCAUUUCUGAUAGUUUAAUGGCAUAUUUGAGCUUUUUUUCUUAUUUUAAUUAAUGAUGUGGACCUUUAAUAAAAGGACACGUGGCAAAGCUGUUUUUGAAAACCACUAUUAAAAAUUAAUGGCAUGGAUGAGCCGAUUUUGUAACGGUGAUGGCAUGAAUGAGCCAAACUUUUAACUGAUGGCAUAAAUGAGUCAUUUCUGAUAGUUCAAUGACAUAUUUGAGUCUUUUCCCUUUUAAUUUUCUUUUCAUGCUCAUUGAGAUAAUAUAAAUUUAGAUUGUUUGGAGUUUAAUUUCAGAAAAAUUUGAUAUUUUAUAUAAUUACAAAAAAUUUAAUUUUGGGUAUAUUAAGAUACAUAAUUAGCUCUCGAUCAGGGGCGGAUCUAUUAAGGGUUCUGGGGUGGCCCGUCACCCGCAAAUUUCGAUGAAAAUUUUAUAUAUAAAGUGUGUGUAUAUAUAUAUANNNNNNNNNNNNNNNNNNNNNNNNNNNNNNNNNNNNUGUAGUACUCCCUCCGUUUCGUUUUAGUUGGGCCUCUUUCUAAAAAUAUUUGUUUCAAUUUAGUUGUCCCUUUUGAUGAAAGUAUUUUGUUAUGUUUUUCCAAUACCACCCCCAACAUUAAAUGACUAAACAAAGUAUAUUUACUCAAAUUUAUAUUUUCAAAGCAUAAUUAAUAAGGGUAAUUUGGUAAAAUUUACCCCCUAAUUAAUAUUUUCUUAAUGGAUGUGUCAAGUUCAUAGGGGUCAACUAAUAUGAAAUGGAGUAUAUAAAUAACAAACUUGCCACCCAAACAACCAAAGUGGUCUGUUGUUCAGGUGGCACAAGGCUGUUAAUUUCACCCAACAGGUCCAAGUUUAAAAAAUUCGAGUUCAGUAUUUACUAUCUAAACAUAAAAAAAGUUUUAAUCAUGUAUAAAUAGCAUUGUUUUUCCUCGAAAGAGAUUCAAUGAACCUCUUGUCCAUAAGUUCGCUCGGAUUUACGAUUUGGAGUCUCCGAUUAAUUUAAUCAAUGAGUCUACUUGGCACUCGGAGACUCCAAAUCCUGAAUCCGCCUCUGCUCUCGAUACAUCCAAUAAAGAUAUACUUUUUCCUUUAUAAAUCAGCUCUCGAUAUUUUUUUUUCGAUUUUGGGGUUGUCGAGAUACAUAAUUAUCUCUCGAUACAUCCAAAGAAGAUAUAUAAUUAGUUGAGAUUUUUGUAAUUGCUUUGUAAGAGUGAGAAUUUGUGUAAAUAUGGUAAAGUUAAAAUGUAUAUUUAUGUUAAUUUUCCAAAAAAUAUAUAUAAUAUCUAGUUUAGUAAGCUAUUUCUAUGCAAUUGAAGGUUAUAAAGUUAAAAGUAAUUGAGAGCUUUAAUCUUGAAUUUCAAAAUCAUAACUAUUUUUGGGACAAUUUAUUGAGCUUUUACUGUUGCACUAGCUGUAGUUAGGUUCAUGUCACUGAAUAUUUAUCGAAAACAACUUCCAAAUCUUAUAAAAAUAAAAAUAAAAGCUGCAUAUUUUGCUCAUCAAAAAAAUAUAUAUCAGAUAUGUAAUUGGUACUGGUUAGGUCCAUGUACUAAUCCUUACAUUGAAACAAAGAUUGUCAAAGUUACAUGAGAAUUUUUAUUUUUUUAUUAAUGGGAAAAGACAUCGUUUUCACUUCAAACUACACAAGAAAAGUCGAAUCCACAUCUAAACUAUAUAAGUGACCUAUUACACACAUUAACUAUAUAAAAGUAAAACUUUUUACACCCUGUAAAACAUUAUACCACUUGCAUGUGGUGUAGUGUUGCACACGCGCCUGCCACGUCAGCAUGAUACGAAAAAAAUAAUAAAUUUAUUAUUUUCAUAAAUUUUUCUUCUUUUUUUUUUUAAUUUAAAUUUUUUUUCUUUCUUCUUCAAUAUCCAAAACCUCUAUUGUUGUCCAAAACCUCCAUUGUUAUGAGUUCAAUUUUUGUUCUUAUUCUUUUAUAUCCAAAACCUCCAUUUUUAUGAGCUCAAAUUUUUUUCCUUUUUCUUUAAUGUUCAAUUAUAGAUACACUUUUCUGCACAAUGGAAUCCAAUUAUAUGUGCAUAAAAGUUUUAUCCUUUCUUUUUCUAACUUGAUAUUUACCUUGUUUAGCAGACAAGGUGCGGCACAGAAAUUGCAUCAAUCUCAUCGCCGGCGAUGCAGCUCCGAAGGCGAUUGCUUGAUACACCGCCGUGCACACCUAAAUUCUACACACUACCCACACAAUACAAAACCUCACUACCUCAGUAGUACUAUAAUUUCCCCCAAAACUAAAAUCGCCAAAACACCAACAACAACCUCAAUCCCCAAACUGUUUAAUGGAAAGCUUCAUAAUGGAAAACUUCACCAACAAAAAUCCAAAUUUCUCCUCAGAGAAGCCUACUAAUUAUGAAAACUCUUUAGUGAUUUUCAUAGGGACUGGAUCAGCAAAAUUUGAACAUAAAUAUGAUGCUAAAAGUGCCUCAAAACGGGGUGUUUUUGGAUGGCUACUUAAUGGAAGCUCUAAUCCAAUUAUUGAUGCAUUUGCUGAUGCUAGUUAUAUAGCUUGGUCGGCCUAAUUAUCACGCUUUUACUUCAAAACUUCAUAAUUAAAUCAUAUAAACCACGAUGUCAAAUCAAAAAUCAAACAAUGUGAAAAUGUACCACAAAAUGCAAAGAUUUUUUUGACAUGGGAAGAUUGAAAAUUGUGAACUUUGAAAUCUUUUGUACGCAUUUGCAGCUUCGACGGAGUCGAUAAUUAGGUUUGAUGGUUGAAUUGAAUUGGGGGAAGAAGAAGAAGGAGGAAUUUCAGCUAUUGUUAAUCGUUCGAAACCAUUAACAACUUGAAAUUGGAAUUGAAAUUUUCAAUUUGGGGAUUUUUGAAUUUGGAGAAGAAGAAGAAGAAGAUGGAUGCUGGGGAUUUUUGAAUUUGG